rnacentral:rRNA from 1 species
GUGGGGAAUAUUGGACAAUGGGCGAAAGCCUGAUCCAGCCAUGCCGCGUGUGUGAAGAAGGUCUUAGGAUUGUAAAGCACUUUAAGUUGGGAGGAAGGGCAGUAAGUUAAUACCUUGCUGUUUUGACGUUACCGACAGAAUAAGCACCGGCUAACUUCGUGCCAGCAGCCGCGGUAAUACGAAGGGUGCAAGCGUUAAUCGGAAUUACUGGGCGUAAAGCGCGCGUAGGUGGUUUUGUAAGUUGUAGGUGAAAUCCCCGGGCUCAACCUGGGAACUGCCUCCAAAACUGCAUGACUAGAGUACGGUAGAGGGUAGUGGAAUUUCCUGUGUAGCGGUGAAAUGCGUAGAUAUAGGAAGGAACACCAGUGGCGAAGGCGACUACCUGGACUGAUACUGACACUGAGGUGCGAAAGCGUGGGGAGCAAACAGGAUUAGAUACCCUAGUAGUCC